UACGGAGGGUGCGAGCGUUGUCCGGAAUUACUGGGCGUAAAGGGCGCGUAGGCGGCCUGCUAAGUCGAACGUGAAAUCCCCGGGCUCAACCCGGGAACUGCGUCCGAUACUGGCAGGCUUGAAUCCGGGAGAGGGAUGUGGAAUUCCAGGUGUAGCGGUGAAAUGCGUAGAUAUCUGGAGGAACACCGGUGGCGAAGGCGGCAUCCUGGACCGGCAUUGACGCUGAGGCGCGAAAGCCAGGGGAGCAAACGGG
rnacentral:rRNA from 1 species